AGCGAACGCUGGCGGCAGGCCUAACACAUGCAAGUCGAACGGACCCUUCGGGGUUAGUGGGGGACGGGUGAGUAACACGUGGGAACGUGCCUUUAGGUUCGGAAUAGCUCCUGGAAACGGGUGGUAAUGCCGAAUGUGCCCUUCGGGGGAAAGAUUUAUCGCCUUUAGGGCGGCCCGCGUCUGAUUAGCUAGUUGGUGGGGUAACGGCCUACCAAGCCUGCGAUCUGUAGCUGGUCUGAGAGGACGAUCAGCCACACUGGGACUGAGACACGGCCCAGACUCCGACGGGAGGCAGCAGUGGGGAAUCUUGCGCAAUGGGCGAAAGCCUGACGCAGCCAUGCCGCGUGAAUGAUGAAGGUCUUAGGAUUGUAAAGUUCUUUCGCCCGUGACGAUGAUGACGGUAACGGGAGAAGAAGCCCCGGCUAACUUCGUGCCAGCAGCCGCGGUAACAC
rnacentral:rRNA from 1 species